GUUUCAACAGAUUUUUAAAAAAGAAGAAAGAAAAGAAAAGGGAGAGAGUGCCUUGGUAAGAAGAUUGUGAUUCUAAUUCUAGUUUCUUCUCCAGAUAAGAAUGCCUCAGAUCGUUGGCUUUCUAUCAUUUGAUAAAGUUAAUUCAUCUAUCAAGGUGGAAGGUGGAAGCUAAGUGGCCUGGCCCAUGUAACAAAUCUAAGCCUAAAUCAUCCAUCCAUUGUGAUGUUUGCUGAAUUUAUCAACAUGCAAGAUUUCAGAAUUAACCUCCUAAUCAGCCAACCAAAGCCUGGAGGCUGCUGUACCUACCUUGAU